AGGACGAACGCUGGCGGCGUGCUUAACACAUGCAAGUCGAGCGAGAGCCAGCUGAGGGGUAACCCUCGGCUGGGGACAGCGGCGAACGGGUGCGUAACACGUGGGCAACCUGCCCCUGACACUGGGAUAACCCCGGGAAACCGGAGCUAAAAUCCGGAUACUCUCGGCCGAUCACAUGGCUGGCCGAGGAAAGGUCCGCCGGUCAGGGAUGGGCCCGCGGCCUAUCAGCUUGUUGGUGAGGUAACGGCCCACAAGGCGACGACGGGUAGCUGGUCUGGAGAGGACGACCAGCCACACUGGAACUGAGAUACGGUCCAGACUCCGUACGGGAGCAGCAGGUGGGAAUAUGACACAAGUGGGACGAAAGCCUGAUGCAGCGACGCCGCGUGGAGGGAUAGGAACGGUCCGUUACGGUUACGUAAACCGUUCGUUCGGCGAAGGGAC
rnacentral:rRNA from 1 species